AUGAACGCUGGCGGCGUGCCUAAUACAUGCAAGUCGAGCGAACAGACGAGGAGCUUGCUCCUCUGACGUUAGCGGCGGACGGGUGAGUAACACGUGGAUAACCUACCUAUAAGACUGGGAUAACUUCGGGAAACCGGAGCUAAUACCGGAUAAUAUAUUGAACCGCAUGGUUCAAUAGUGAAAGACGGUUUUGCUGUCACUUAUAGAUGGAUCCGCGCCGCAUUAGCUAGUUGGUAAGGUAACGGCUUACCAAGGCAACGAUGCGUAGCCGACCUGAGAGGGUGAUCGCCCACCAGGGAACUGAGACACGGUCCAGACCCCUACGGGAGGCAGCAGUAGGGAAUCUUCCGAAAUGGGCGAAAGCCUGACGGAGCAACGCCGGGGGGGUGAUGAAGGUCUUCGGAUCGUAAAACUUUUUUAUUAGGGAAGAACAAAUGUGUAAGUAACUAUGCCCGUCUUGACGGUACCUAAUCAAAAAGCCCCGGCUAACUACGU
rnacentral:rRNA from 1 species